GGGUGUAGAGCUCAGUGGUAGAGUGUGUGCUUAGCAUGCACGAGGUCCUGGGUUCAAUCCCCAGUACCUCUA
rnacentral:tRNA from 1 species